rnacentral:rRNA from 1 species
CCUGUUCACUAAAGGUAGCUUCGGCUUCCGCAUUGGGAGGGGCCCGCGGCCCAUUAGCUUGUUGGUGGGGUCAAGGCCUACCAAGGCAACGAUGGGUAGCUGGUCUGAGAGGACGAUCAGCCACACUGGGACUGAGACACGGCCCAGACUCCUACGGGAGGCAGCAGUGGGGAAUCUUGCGCAAUGCGCGAAAGCGUGACGCAGCAACACCGCGUGAGGGAAGACGGCCUUAGGGUUGUAAACCUCUUUCAGAUGGGACGAAGGUGAUGCGGUGAAUAGCCGAUGUCAUUGACGGUACCGUCAGAAGAAGCUCCGGCUAACUACGUGCCAGCAGCCGCG